rnacentral:tRNA from 1 species
UGGGGGUCUAGCUCAGUCCGGUUAGAGCACCUGCCUUUUAAGCAGGGUGUCAGGGGUUCAAAUCCCCUGACCCCCAG